rnacentral:lncRNA from 1 species
GUGCCUGCUCUUUUUUCUUUCUGCUUCUCCCCGUCAUGGUGAACGGGAUCGGCUUCGAUGCCUACGCCUUUUCGAGGACGCCUCCUGCUCUCCAGCCAUCUUCGCCAUCUGUUGUUCGAGCUCAUCUUGCUGAAGACGCAAGGCCAUCAUGACGUCUUUGUUCUGCUGCAUCUUCUUCUAUAGAAUAAACUCCCUCUGAUCUUGGCUGCCUUCGCCUUGGCUUUUUCCGUGCACCUCAAGUGCCCGAGAAUGAUUCUCAUCCGCCCGACUAGCCUGGUUAGGGGUACGCUGACUGUCAUGGAAGAGUUUUUGCCGGAGGGAAGCAGUCGGUUCCUCCUAAUCUCCCUGGAUUCUAGAACCCAGUCUAUCCUUCACAGACCCCCUCACCUGUGUGGUUUGGUGGGUCUUUGCCUUUUCCUGGUUAGAAGUACCUGUAUCUCUGCUCGCCAUGGUUUUCCACCGGAAAAGUUGGUUGUGAUUGUAAGAACACUAAAAGCCCUCCUUCUAGCGCCAAUGUUAACACCAAGUUUCGCCGGCGUGUCCAAUCACAGAAUCCACGCGCUAGAACCUGCACAAUAACAGAUCACACAGAAGCUUGACGGCUUGUGCCGGCGGGGGAUAGCUCCGGUGUGAGAAUAAGUACAGGCCGUUCACAAGGUAUAACAAUGGAGGCUAUGUGUUUAGUGCUCAAAAGUAGGUAUUACCUCUUAAUUGUAACCUUGGUCGGGUAUUUAUAGUACUCUCCACCUUAGAAGCCUUCUCCGAGUCGGAUAAGGACUCCUAGUCAUGGUAGUUACCAUAACUCGGGUCCAACACAAUCUCCUUAAAAGGUGCAAGUGGAAUCCAAUCCAAUCACUACCUUUGGAGUUACCUUAUUCAAUUAUGAUUAGGACUUCAGGCUCUAUGCGCAGGAGAGCCCACUUCACAGGCCCAACCCAACCGAACUCACCAUCAGGUCUGGGUCUCGGCCUACGGGACUCGAGGGCCCGACCCUGAACACCAUACAAUAAGGCAAGGAUCCGGCCCAAAGGACUCGGAUGCCGAACCCGAACACCAUCAACUCCCCCAUGGGCUUCGGCCCAAUAGACUCAUAAACCCCUUCUAGUGUCAGGCUUUCGGCCCACUUUAAAAUCGGUAAAAUAUUCCCGAACAUUGAUAUUUACCAAUCUUAGUCAUGCAUAUAGUUUAAAAUAUGUAAAAGAAAAAUAGAGGCAUGAAAUUAGGUAAUAUUGUUUUGGUUGAGGACAAAGAAUUUUAAUGGGAAUGGUUUAAGGAAAGACGGUAUAAAUUGUAGACAAUUAAAGAGAUUUUUUGAUAUCACCAUUAUAAAAAAUAUAAGACUCAUGUAUUUUAUAAAGACGACAUCCAAUUUUAUGUCAAGUUCAAUAUGUAAUGAUAUAUUAUGCUCAUGAUACUCCAUCUUUCCCUUAAUAUAAGAUUUUUUUAAAUUAUGCAUAAAUAUUAAGAAAAUAAUUGUAUAAUAUUAAAUAUCUAUAGUGCCCUUGUAUUGAAAAAAUAGAUUCUUAUUUAUUAAGCAAAAUAUAGGGAGAGAACCAAAAUUAUAUUUAAUAUUUGGAGUAAUAUUAGAAAUUAAGCAAUUAAUACUUACUUGAAAUUCUAAAACGUCUUAUAUUAAGGGACGAGAGCAGAUCAUAUGUUCCCAAUUUUCCUGUCCCCUUGUGUCCCUCCACUUAAAUUUUGACAUCUAAUCUCUUACUUAAUACUAAUUAAUUCUAAAAUUAAAUAAAAAGAUAUAUAUCUAAAUUUAAGUGAGAGACACAUGAAGAACAUAAAAUUUAAAGACAAAAGAUCUGCUCUCAUUAAAGAAUGAAGGAAGUAUAUAAUAACCUUAACAGAUAUUCUACUUAAUUUUUGUGAGAGAAAAUUUAUUGUGAUUGUAGGAAAUUUAUUGUGGCCCUAAAAGACUUACAACUUACAAGCAACCAAAUCAACGAAUUCUCAUUUUGCUCUUAAAUUAUCUAUAAAGUUUACUCCCUCCGUUCUUAAUUAUUUGACGUUUUAAAGAUGGACACAAGAAUUAAAAUAAUUAUUAGAAAACAUUAGAUAUAGGACUCAAUUGUCUAUAAUACCCUUAAAUCUUUUGUUGGGAUAAGGAGAGUUUUGUUAGAAUAAGAAGAGUUUUAUUGGGACAAGGAGAGAGAAAGAGUUUAAAGUAUCAAAAAAAUAAGAAGAAUAAUGAGAUGUAAUUUUGAAAAAAUUAUAAUUAAUUCUCCUAAAUUUGAACAAACAUCAAAUAAUUAGGGAUAAAUAAAAAACUCUAAAACAUCAAAUAAUUAGAGACGGGAGGAGUAUUUUUUAGGUGUGAUAAUUAUAUUCAUUUUUAUUUCAUCAUGCGUAUAUGUUUAAUGUUCAUGGUGAGUGGUGACACCAUCUAAUAAGUAGUAAUUUUGCUCUCAAUUUCAUGGUAUAUUUAAUAUGUAAUUGACUAUUAUUUAAAUGUGAUAAUUAUAUUAAUUUUUAUUUAAUUAUGUGUCUAUAUUUAAUACUCAUGAAUAUAUAAUAACGGUAAUCAACACUACAUAUAAUAAUUUUUAUCAAAAAAUAAAAAAAUAAUUACUGCAAAAAAAAUUAAUUAAGACAUUAAUAAAGUUACCAAGUCAACAAUUAUCCUCAUUUUGCUACUAUUUAUUGUGUCCUUAAUAAAAAAAAUCAAGUAAACUAUUAUUCUCAUUUAGUGUUAAAUUCAUUAUAUAUGCCUAUUAUUUAAGUGCGACAAUUAUAUUAAUUUUUAUUUCAAUAUUUGUGCAUAUUUAAUUCUAAUCGUAACCGACAUUCUAUGUGUAAUUUUUAUCGAUUUUUUUAUUAUUACAUUCUUAAUUGGCCUAUCAAACCAAUAAUUAUUUUCUUAUUUUACCUCUGUAUAUGUUAGCAUAUAUAUAAAUAUAUAUAUAUAUAUCUAUACAAUUAUAUUCUAUGUGCAGCGCGUAUCCCUAACCCUAAACUUUCUUAUUCUAUGUGCAGAUUCUAAAUCUAAAUCUAAAUCUAAAUCUAAAUCUAAGAGGCGCAGAUACGAGUUAUGGCGGAGAUGCUUCGACUACUAAAGAAGCCGAUGAUGACGACGUGGAGAACCGAUCUUCCUUUAAGGUUCGGCAUCAUGCUCUUUAACCAGUUCAAUUAUUUUUUUCUAGAUCCGUUUUGCGCUAGCAUAAUUUAGGGAUUUUGUCGUAGCCAGUAGAUAUGGUAAUUAAAGAACUAAAGAAUUUCUCUUUGAUUUGAAGGGUUAGUGAAACAAAAAGGGUAACUGUACUGAGUCCCUCCUCUGUGUUGCUAUUUAUUUUGAUUUGUGCUAUCAUAAUUUAGGGGUUUGGUUAUAGUAAGGUUAAUUUUUCUUUGGAUAUAGUAACUAAAGAGCAGAAGAAUUUCUCUUUGAUUUGAAGGGUUAGUUAAACAAAAAAGGUAAUUGUACUAAAUCCCUGUGUUGCUAUAUUUAUUUAUGGACAGGCUCGUAUUAUUAGGUCGAUGUUCAUGGCAUUUCAUAAUUUUGUAUACGGAUGGAGAACAAAGGUUGAGGGGUUUUUGCAAAUGAUGGGUCGUGCUUCAACAAGAUAAUUCUAGAAGAUACCCACUGUACAUGUAAGUUUGAUCUUUUAGUAUUUGAGGAAAUGUUGAUCUUUUUAAUUUAUUAUUCGUCUUAUAGAUUGAGCUAUAGUAUCUUCUUAUUGUCUUAUAGUCUGUUUGUCCAUAAAUUAACUCAUUUCCUUCAUCAGAGUAAAAUCAGCAGGGUUUCUAGUUUCUGUUGGCAGUGCACGCUUCAUCACUAGUAUGAGCAUCCACAACAUUACACCUUAAGUGACUCCACACCUAUUGCAAAACGAAGGGCUUGAUAUUCAAUACUGGGGGAUCCACUACAUCACACCUUAAGUGGAUGCCAGAUGACUGAUCAUUCAUCAUUCUCUUGCCCUUGGAAGAGAAGUUACGCAAGUGACCCUGAUGCCAUGGCAGCACCGUGGAUUAAGGGAGCAGAAGCCAGAUGUCCUAACAGAUGUCAUAACAGCGCAGAGUUUUGGAAUGCCUGAUUCCUAGAUUUGCAAAAUAUAACCUUCUUUCCCUCGCUCUAUAGUUGUUAAUACCAUUCCAUGGAGGGUACCCUAAUACCCUUUCGGAUUUAUCAGACACUAAAAAUGAUAAUUUUAUGUGUAAUUGUUGAAUACUUGUAUGAAAGCACAUAAUUUAUCUUUCUAAGUACCCCCAUCAUGAUCCUCUUUCUAACUCAAUGAUUUGAGUGCUGCUGAACGUUUAAUAACGUAGUAAUUUAAUAAUGUAGUUGUCUUAAGAAACUUUAGCUAUACAAAUUUACCUUUACGGAAUUUGUAGUAGUAUAUUCACAUUUCACUUGUAAGUGGUGCAUCUAUACAAGUUUACCCUCCCUGAACUUGCUUUGGUUCAAAAUCAUAAAGUUAAGGUGAGUUAUUUUUUAAUUAUUUAAGUUGCUAAUUCUAUUUAAUUUAUUAGUUGUCUAUUACUAGUGGAUUAUUAUAUAUCAUUUUGACAUUGAUGAUGGUGGACUAAUGAAAUUAUAAAUUGAAUAUUUGUUAGUUGGUAAGUAAUUAGUAGAUUCUUUAUUUGAUUGUGCAAUAAUUUAAAUUUGGUAUACUCUUUUUAUGAAUUAGUAUGAGCUUAAUAUGGUUGUAUGACCAAAUAUUUUUCAGUAUCUUUUAAGCUCGCCUUUGUUAUAAUUCCUAGCAUUUCUACCGCUAGCUCGAGGGAGUAAACCAAGGACUGCAUGUGAAGUAGGCAUAAAUGAUUGGGAACUAAAGAAAUUAUACCUGCAUUCAAUAGAGUGGUUUUCAAAACUUCAUUACUUGAGAAGUUUUUGUUUAGGAACUUUGGUCUUAAUAAAUUCAAUUAUAAUUAACUAAUUUUGUAAAAGGAUUUCUUUUAAUUUUGUUAUUAGUACCUUGCAAGUAGGGGUUAAUUUAUAUAAUGUUUGAAAGUGAUAUCUACUCAUUGAACUUGUAGCAAUGGUGAACUUGUAUUACAUAUGAGAAGGAUUGGCACAUACUAACUUGCAUUUUUUGAAUAUGUAGGAAAUCAUGUCCAACCAGGUAGAUAUGGGAGAAUUUAGCUUUCUAUCCCUGUUGUUAGAUGGUGAUGAACAUAUGUACCAUGAACAACUGCUUGCCACUCACUAGCCUCAACACCUGCAGGCAGCACUAGGACAGUUCAGAAAUGCAAAUUCUGUGGACAUGAUUGUAGCGCUGGGGCAAUUCAUGUGUUUCAAUUCUUGACCCAUGAUUGGGCAUUCGUAAGUAUUGCAGGCACAACUGCAGAACCAGCAGGUAUCCAAUGGUUUCAAACUCUGGGAGCACGCAACUACAGGCUUGGAGUUUUGAAAAUAAAUAUGGCUUGCCUGCAUAUUUUUUUCCCGCACACCUAUUCACUAAUUACAAAUGGGAACUUGGAGACUACACGCCCACUGCAAAAUUAAGGGCUUGACAUUCAGCACUGGGGGAAUCCAACAUCCACAACAUCACACCUUAAGUGGAAGCCAGUUGACGAUCAUUCUCUUGGCCUUGGCCUUGGAACAAAUGUUAUAUUAGUUCUAACAUACAAUGUUUAAAACGUAUACUCUAAUUAGUUAGUGCUUGAAGGUUUCUUAUGUGCAUCUUUCUCUCUAUAUAAAUGUAAUAUGCAUUAUAUUAAUUCAAAUAUGUAUUGUAUUAUACUAAGGAUAUAUUUGUUUGCAAGAAUUAU